UUGAACGCUGGCGGCAUGCUUUACACAUGCAAGUCGAACGGUAACAGGCCUUCGGGUGCUGACGAGUGGCGAACGGGUGAGUAAUGCAUCGGAACGUACCCAGAGGUGGGGGAUAACGCAGCGAAAGCUGUGCUAAUACCGCAUGUGAUCUGAGGAUGAAAGCGGGGGACCGAGCAGCAAUGUUUGGCCUCGCGCCUUUGGAGCGGCCGAUGUCGGAUUAGCUAGUUGGUGGGGUAAAGGCCUACCAAGGCGACGAUCCGUAGCUGGUCUGAGAGGACGACCAGCCACACUGGGACUGAGACACGGCCCAGACUCCUACGGGAGGCAGCAGUGGGGAAUUUUGGACAAUGGGCGCAAGCCUGAUCCAGCAAUGCCGCGUGCGGGAAGAAGGCCUUCGGGUUGUAAACCGCUUUUGGCAGGAACGAAACGGUGUCCGCUAAUACCGGGCGCUAAUGACAGUACCUGCAGAAUAAGCACCGGCUAACUACGUG
rnacentral:rRNA from 1 species